rnacentral:rRNA from 1 species
GACGAACGCUGGCGGCGUGCCUAAUACAUGCAAGUUGAGCGCUGAAGGUUGGUACUUGUACCAACUGGAUGAGCAGCGAACGGGUGAGUAACGCGUGGGGAAUCUGCCUUUGAGCGGGGGACAACAUUUGGAAACGAAUGCUAAUACCGCAUAAAAACUUUAAACACAAGUUUUAAGUUUGAAAGAUGCAAUUGCAUCACUCAAAGAUGAUCCCGCGUUGUAUUAGCUAGUUGGUGAGGUAAAGGCUCACCAAGGCGAUGAUACAUAGCCGACCUGAGAGGGUGAUCGGCCACAUUGGGACUGAGACACGGCACAAACUCCUACGGGAGGCAGCAGUAGGGAAUCUUCGGCAAUGGACGAAAGUCUGACCGAGCAACGCCGAGUGAGUGAAGAAGGUUUUCGGAUCGUAAAACUCUGUUGGUAGAGAAGAACGUUGGUGAGAGUGGAAAGCUCAUCAAGUGACGGUAACUACCCAGAAAGGGACGGCUAACUACGUG